UGUCGCUCACCUUGGUCUUGUGCAUAUUAAAUAAUGGACACGGAUAAAUUCAUGACUUAAUUGUGUUUUGGUGAUAGUGAUGUGUUUGUAGAUCUUACUUUACUGAACAUUCUUGUUGCUACAAAUAUCUGUCUAUAAUGAACUUGGCCCAGUAAUUACAGUGGAAAAUAUUUUCCACAAAUUUACAAAAAUUUAUGACAAAUGUUAAAAAUUAGCUAUAAAGGGCAAUAACUCCUUAAGGGGGGUCAAUGACUAUUUUGGUCAUGUAAACUUAUUUGUAGAUCUUAUUUUGCUGAACGUUAUUGCUGUAUACAGUUUAUCUCUAUCUAUAAUAAUAUUCAAGAUAAUGACAAAAAACGGCAAAAUUGCCUUAAAAUUACCAAUUCAGGACAGUAACCUAACAACGGGUUGUCCGAUCCAUGUGAAAACAUCAGGGCAGAUAGAUCUUGACCUGAUAAACAAUUAAACCCUGUCAGAUUUUCUCUUAAUGCUUCGGUUUUUGAGUUAUAAGCCAAAUACUGCAUUUUACCCCUAUGUUCUAUUAUUAGCCGUAGCACUUUUUGGUUGAUUGGCCAGUUCACGCCACACAUUUUUUAAACAAAUUACCCCAAUGAUGAUUGUGGCAAAGCUUAGUUUAAUUUGGCCCAGUAGUUUCAGAGAAGAAGAUUUUUGUAAAAGAUUACUAAGAUUUACCAUAAAAUGGUUAAAAAUUGACUAUAAAGGGCAAUAACUCCUUCAGGGGUCAACUGACCAUUUUGGCCAUGCUGACUUAUUUGUAAAUCUUACUUUGCUGAACAUUAUUGCUGUUACAGUUUAUCUCUAUCUAUAAUAAUAUUCAAGAUAAUAGCCAAAAACAGCAAAAAUUCCCUAAAAUUACCAGUUCAGGGGCAGCAACCCAAUAACGGGUUGUCGGAUUCAUCUGAAAAUUUGAGGGCAGAUAGAUCUUGACCUGAUAAACAAUUUUACCCUCUGUCAGAUUUGCUCUAAAUGCUUUGGUUUUUGAGUUAUAAGCCAAAAACUGCAUUUUACCCCUAUGUUCUAUUUUUAGCCAUGGCGGCCAUCUUGGUUGGUUGGCCGGGUCACGCCACACAUUUUUUAAACUAGAUACCCCAAUGAUGAUUGUGGCCAAGUUUGGUUUAAUUUGGCCCAGUAGUUUCAGAGGAGAAGAUUUUUGUAAAAGUUAACGACGACGGACGACGACUGACGCCGGAUGACGACGGACGACGCCGGACGCCGGACGCCAAGUGAUGGGAAAAGCUCACUUGGCCCUUCGGGCCAGGUGAGCUAAAAAGGAAUAUCAAAUAAUUUGUAAUUAACCUAUUUGCAUUGAUUAAUUAUUUUGUUGAAGUCAUUUUUGUUUUGUUUUAAACAAAUGAAGAAAACUUAUAAACCAUACACAUUAACCCUUUCCUCCAUAGUGACACCUUUUGACGCCACCCCUUUUUACUGCAUAAUGACGCCUUU
rnacentral:lncRNA from 1 species